GCCUACUUCAAACUAUGUCGAAAAGACCAAAACCCCUGGGAAGAAAAAGAAGAGAUGCGUAGGAAAAAACGGGAUAAGGACAGAGUGUGCUGAACGAACCAUCCACUAUCUUCCUCAAUAAACCAGAUGCACUUUUGAAAUACUUGAAUCCCACCCAUGCAAAUCCUGGGCCACCUCCAGACACCAUCUCUACCUCACUAGAGCCCAGGGAUGCUGCAUCAAGUGCUCCUGUCCCCUCUACCUCAACACAGCCGAGUGAUGCAGCAUCAAGUGCUCCUGUCCCCUCUACCUCAGCAAAGCCCAGUGAUGCAGCAUCAAGUGCUCCUGUC